rnacentral:rRNA from 1 species
UAGAAUAAAUUUAAAGGUGAUUUAGGUUUAAAGAUAAUUAUUUGAAGUAACUUUAUGGGUUUUGUUUUAGUAUAGAAAUAGAAUAAAUUUAUUUAUUUAUAGUUUAUUAGUAUUGUGAAAGAAAGUUGAAAAAUUUUGAAAAUUAUUUUAUAGGGAAGUAGAUUAAUUUUGUACCUUGUGUAUCAGGGUUUAUUAAAAUUGAAAUGAGGAUUUUAUUUUUCCCGAGUUGAAAAGAGCUAAUUUGUUAUGUUGGUUAAUGUGGUAUCAUUAUUAAUAAUAACAAAUUUGUAAUGAAAUGUUAGUCGGUUUUUAAGAUAUCUGGUUCUCUGAGAAAUGAAUUCAAUUCAGUAUUUAUUGAGUAUCUUUUAAAUUUUAGUGUGGGUUAUUUAUUAAAUAUAAUACUUUAAGGGAUAAGCUUUAGAGUAGAGGUUAUAAAUUAUUAUGUUGUGUUUAAAAUUGUAGGCUUUAAAUUAGCCAUCUUUAGAAUAAUGUUAUAAAUUAUUUUAUAUAAAUAUGAUUUUAUAAUAAUGUUAAAUUGUAUAUUGGAGUGAAUUGUUAAAUAAUAGUUUAAUUGUAAUAAUGAUGAAAUUAGUAUAUGUGAAAUGUAAAGUAUUUUCUUUGUUUCAAUUUAUAAAAAGGAACUAGGCAAUUUUAAUAUUCGCCUGUUUAUCAAAAACAUGUCCUUUUGAGUUUAAUUUGAGGUCGGGCCUGCCCCCUGAUGAAAAUUAAAGGGCCGCGGUAUUUUGACCGUGCAAAGGUAGCAUAAUCAUUAGUCUUUUAAUUGAAGGCUGGAAUGAAUGGUUUAACGAAAUAUUAACUGUCUCUUUAUAAUAAAUAUAAUUUAACUUCUGAGUCAAAAGGCUUAGAUGAUUAUAAAAGACGAGAAGACCCUAUAGAUCUUUAUACAUGAAUAUUUUUAUUUUGUUUAGAUUAAUUUUUAAUGAACAUAUUAUUGUAUUUUGUUGGGGUGACAUGAAGAUAAAAAUAACUCUUUAUUAUUAAUACAUUGAUUUAUGAAUAAUUGAUCCAUUAUUAGUGAUUAUAAGAUAAAGUUACCUUAGGGAUAACAGCGUAAUUUUUUUUGAGAGUUCUUAUCGACAAAAAAGAUUGCGACCUCGAUGUUGGAUUAAGGAAUAUGAUUAGGUGUAGAAGUUUAAUUAAUAAGUCUGUUCGACUUUUAAAUCCUUACAUGAUCUGAGUUCAGACCGGCGUAAGCCAGGUCGGUUUCUAUCUUUAUGGAAAUAAGAUGUUUUAGUACGAAAGGACCAAACAUCUAAAAUAAUUUUUUAGGGAUGAUAAAUAUUAAU